AUAUGCACCUAAUGCCAGUCCUUCCAGAAAAAUGCGGAGUCUUUUUGUGAUUGUUGCAGGUAAAAAUCCUUGAUUAUGCGGCAUGUUUUCU